ACGCUGGCGGCGUGCUAACACAUGCAAGUCGAACGCGAAGGGACUUCGGUCCUGAGUAAAGUGGCGCACGGGUGAGUAACGCGUGGAUAAUCUGCCCUUAUGAUCGGGAUAACAGGUUGGAAACGGCUGCUAAUACCGGAUACGCUCAAAAUGAACUUUUUGAGGAAAGAUGGCCUCUGCUUGCAUGCUAUCACGUAAGGAUGAGUCCGCGUCCAUUAGCUUGUUGGCGGGGUAACGGCCCACCAAGGCAACGAUGGGUAGCCGAUUUGAGAGGAUGAUCGGCCACACUGGAACUGAAACACGGUCCAGACUCCUACGGGAGGCAGCAGUGGGGAAUAUUGCGCAAUGGGACGAAAGCCUGACGCAGCGACGCCGCGUGAGGGAUGAAAGGUUUUCGGAUCGUAAACCUCUGUCAGAAGGGAAGAAACUACGUUGUGCUAAUCAGCAGCGUACUGACGGUACCUUCAAAGGAAGCACCGGCUAACUCCGUGCCAGCAGCAGC
rnacentral:rRNA from 1 species